rnacentral:rRNA from 1 species
AGAAAAUAGAUACCCUGGUAGUCCACGCUGUAAACGAUGAGGACUAGAUGUUGGCUGGGGAAACCAGUCAGUAUCGAAAGCUAACGCGAUAAGUCUUCCGCCUGGGAAGUACGGCCGCAAGGUUGAAACUCAAAGAAAUUGACGGGGGCCCGGCACAAGCGGUGGAGCAUGUGGUUUAAUUCGAUGCAACGCGAAGAACCUUACCUACCCUUGACAUCCUGCGAAUCCCGACUGAGAGUUGGGAGUGCCGAAAGGAGCGCAGAGACAGGUGCUGCAUGGCUGUCGUCAGCUCGUGUUGUGAGAUGUUGGGUUAAGUCCCGUAACGAGCGCAACCCUUGUUCUUAGUUACCAGCAUUUAGUUGGGGACUCUAAGAAGACUGCCGGUGAUGAACCGGAGGAAGGCGGGGUACGACGUCAAGUCAUCAUGGCCUUUAUGGGUAGGGCUACACACGUGCUACAAUGGGGCGUACAGAGGGUCGCGAAACCGCGAGGUGGAGCCAAUCUCUUAAAAGCGUCUCGUAGUCCGGGUUGGAGUCUGCAACUCGAC